rnacentral:rRNA from 1 species
GAUGAACGCUAGCGGCAGGCUUAAUACAUGCAAGUCGAGGGGCAGCAUGAAGUAGCUAUACUUUGAUGGCGAACGGCAAACGGGUGCGGAACACGUACACAACCUUCCUUUAAGUGGGGAAUAGCCCAGAGAAAUUUGGAUUAAUACCCCGUAACACAACGAAGUGGCAUCACUUUGUUGUUAUAGUUUCGGCGCUUAAUGAUGGGUGUGCGUAUGAUUAGAUAGUUGGCGAGGUAACGGCUCACCAAGUCUACGAUCAUUAGCUGAUGUGAGAGCAUGAUCGGCCACACGGGAACUGAGACACGCGCCCGACGCGUACGGGCGGCAGCAGUAAGGAAUAUUGGUCAAUGGAGGCAAGUCUGAACCAGCCAUGCCGCGUGAAGGAUUUAGGUCCUCUGGAUUGUAAACUUCUUUUAUAUGGGACGAAAAAAGGUCUUUCUAGACCCCUUGACGGUACCAUAUGAAUAAGCACCGGCUAACUCCGUG